rnacentral:rRNA from 1 species
AUGCAUACGGUUGCUUCUGGCAGCGGCGAGGAUCCCUUCCGUGUCCUGCCCGACGAGCUCCUCCGGCAUGUCCUGUCCUUUCUGCCAGCGGACGAUGCCCUGCAGACCUGCGUGCUCGACACCCGGUGGCAUGACCUUUGGAGACGCGCGACCAGCCUGAUCCUCUUCUUUGACAAGAGGUCAAGUGCCUGUAGCUGCGAGCGUUUCGAACAGCUAGCGAAGCUGGUCACCAACCUCAGCGGGCACUCGCCUCUCGUCAAGUGUGAGAUCAAUGUCUAUCCUGGUGAUCCACCGGAAGCGUUCACAAACACCACCAAGCUGUUGAUUGAUUAUGUCCUAGCGUGCCAGACCGAGGAGCUCACACUCAGCCCCGUUGACGUCGAGGACAUUGAUGGCCUUGACCCACCAAUAUUCGAUGUGCCUCUCAUUUCCCAGCACCUGAAGACCAUAGACCUUCACUGGGUUUGCCUAGAAUUCCCUGGUUUGGACUUCAGCGGCUGCCCGGUAUUAGAGGAUCUCAAGCUGCGGCAUUGCAACGUUUAUGUGCAGAAGAUAUCAUCCAAGUCACUCAAGCGUCUCUGCAUCACUGAUUUCUGCGUGGUCCCUUUGGAUUUCCGCAUUCGGAUUUGUGCACCGGAUCUUGUCUCACUGCAAGUUGAUGAUUUUGAUGGCGUGACCCCUUUCCUUGAGGACAUGCCAUCUCUAGUAACAGCCUAUGUUGGGCUUGACCGUGCAUGUCACGAUUGGUGUGAAGAUAUGCGCCUGAAGGGUUGUGGUUUGUAUGACUGUGGUUGUCAUACUUAUCCCGAAGAGGGGGGUGUGCUUCUCAAUGGUCUGUCCAAUGCUGUCAAUUUGGAGUUGAUAGCUGUACGUCAAGUGUUUAUCUAUACAUGGGAUUUGGAAUGGUGCCCAACAUUUUUCAACUUAAAGACUUUGUUACUCAAUGAAUGGUUCACAGCUAUUGACCUAGUUUGCAUUCUCCAACACUCUCCACUUCUUGAGAUGCUCACUCUUCAGCUUGGUGGUAUAAAGAGCCUCACUAGAGCAAGAGGGGCCCAAAAACCAAUAGAACAAUCAUUCAUGUGUGCGCACCUCAAGAUUGUCAACAUCGAAUGUGAUGAGGUUGAUGAGGACAUUCGCAAAAUUUUGAAGAUCUUAUGGGCAUGUGGCAUACUCCGUGAUCGCAUUAGCAUAAAGGCUCCAUCCUCACCCUCAUACUUUUUCAGUUUCCAGAAGGACCCGCAGGCAGUGAUUCCUUUGUAG